rnacentral:rRNA from 1 species
UAACACGUGGGUAACCUACCUAUAAGACUGGGAUAACUUCGGGAAACCGGAGCUAAUACCGGAUAACAUUUGGAACCGCAUGGUUCUAAAGUGAAAGAUGGUUUUGCUAUCACUUAUAGAUGGACCCGCGCCGUAUUAGCUAGUUGGUAAGGUAACGGCUUACCAAGGCGACGAUACGUAGCCGACCUGAGAGGGUGAUCGGCCACACUGGAACUGAGACACGGUCCAGACUCCUACGGGAGGCAGCAGUAGGGAAUCUUCCGCAAUGGGCGAAAGCCUGACGGAGCAACGCCGCGUGAGUGAUGAAGGGUUUCGGCUCGUAAAACUCUGUUAUUAGGGAAGAACAAACGUGUAAGUAACUGUGCACGUCUUGACGGUACCUAAUCAGAAAGCCACGGCUAACUACGUGCCAGCAGCCGCGGUAAUACGUAGGUGGCAAGCGUUAUCCGGAAUUAUUGGGCGUAAAGCGCGCGUAGGCGGUUUCUUAAGUCUGAUGUGAAAGCCCACGGCUCAACCGUGGAGGGUCAUUGGAAACUGGGAAACUUGAGUGCAGAAGAGGAAAGUGGAAUUCCAUGUGUAGCGGUGAAAUGCGCAGAGAUAUGGAGGAACACCAGUGGCGAAGGCGACUUUCUGGUCUGUAACUGACGCUGAUGUGCGAAAGCGUGGGGAUCAAACAGGA